rnacentral:sRNA from 1 species
CCUUGGGAGGCGGGGCGGAGGGGGACGGACAGGGCAGCUCAAGACGCUGAGGUGGUGGCUGCGGCCUUUGAACAAACACCAUGGCCGAGCCUCUGAAGGAGGAAGACGGCGAGGACGGCUCUGCGGAGCCCCCCGGGCCCGUGAAGGCCGAACCCGCCCACACCGCUGCCUCUGUAGCGGCCAAGAACCUGGCCCUGCUUAAAGCCCGCUCCUUCGAUGUGACCUUUGACGUGGGCGACGAGUACGAGAUCAUCGAGACCAUAGGCAACGGGGCCUAUGGAGUGGUGUCCUCCGCCCGCCGCCGCCUCACCGGCCAGCAGGUGGCCAUCAAGAAGAUCCCUAAUGCUUUCGAUGUGGUGACCAAUGCCAAGCGGACCCUCAGGGAGCUGAAGAUCCUCAAGCACUUUAAACACGACAACAUCAUCGCCAUCAAGGACAUCCUGAGGCCCACCGUGCCCUAUGGCGAAUUCAAAUCUGUGUCUGGAGACAAAAGUGAUUUAACCAAGUUCAUGGAAAAGUCGUAGAGAAUCUAAAACGUGAUGCUCUUCUUCCAUAC